rnacentral:rRNA from 1 species
GAACGCUGGCGGCAUGCCUUACACAUGCAAGUCGAACGGCAGCACGGGGGCAACCCUGGUGGCGAGUGGCGAACGGGUGAGUAAUAUAUCGGAACGUGCCCUGGAGUGGGGGAUAACGCAGCGAAAGUUGCGCUAAUACCGCAUACGAUCUACGGAUGAAAGUGGGGGAUUCGCAAGAACCUCAUGCUCGUGGAGCGGCCGAUAUCUGAUUAGCUAGUUGGUAGGGCAAAAGCCUACCAAGGCAUCGAUCAGUAGCUGGUCUGAGGGGACGACCAGCCACACUGGAACUGAGACACGGUCCAGACUCCUACGGGAGGCAGCAGUGGGGAAUUUUGGACAAUGGGGGCAACCCUGAUCCAGCAAUGCCGCGUGAGUGAAGAAGGCCUUCGGGUUGUAAAGCUCUUUUGUCGGGGAAGAAAAGGUACGGCUUAAUACGCUGUGCUACUGACGGUACCCGAAGAAUAAGCACCGGCUAACUACGUGCCAGCAGCCGCGGUAAUACGUAGGGUGCAAGCGUUAAUCGGAAUUACUGGGCGUAAAGCGUGCGCAGGGCGGGUUAUGUAAGACAGAUGUGAAAUGCCCCGGGCUCAACCCUGGGAACUGCAUUUGCGACUGCAUGGCUAGAGUUGUGUCAGAGGGGGUAGAAUUCCCCGUGUAGCAGUGAAAUGCGUAGAGAUGUGGAGGAAUACCGAUGGCGAAGGCAGCCCCUGGGAUAACACUGACGCUCAUGCACGAAAGCGUGGGGAGCAAACAGGAUUAGAUACCCUGGUAGUCCACGCCCUAACGAUGUCUACUAGU